GGUGGGUAUAGCUCAGUGGUAGAGCACAUGCUUAGCAUGCAUGAGGUCCUGGGUUUAAUCCCCAGUACCUCCA
rnacentral:tRNA from 1 species